AGAUAUGUGUCACUGAGACCAUCUGGACUGAACCCAGCUAAGGCCACCAACAAACUUUAAAGAUUUUGGCGGGCGGGUGUGGAGAACACUCUUCUCGCAGCCGCGGGAAAGAAGCCUCCUAUGUAAGUUUCCUUGUUUAUUACUUUGCCGCCAAACAGGCUGGCCCCUGGUCUGCCUCUUUUUUUUUUUUUUUUUUUUUUUUUUCGAUCUCUCCUUGCCCUCCAUGUAUGCGGGCCACUUUGCAGAGCAACACUUUUGGCACCCAAGAUCACACAGCAUGAAAGAGGCGGAGCCCGGCAGUCUCCUAUGGGUGUUACAGAACCAAACUUGGGUCCACUGGCCGCAGAGCAGUAAAGCCAAUCCACUGACGCGGGAUUGUGGUGAAGGAGUCAUGCUGUGAGCCAGUGUACACAUUCCAGAAGCCAGGAUUUCUCAGCCCCAUUGUGAAUUUCCCCUGUUGAAAAUGUCAAGUGCAGUGGAGGCAGUGGUGUCACUGGACCUGCAAAUCCUGCAUUUUUCUCAGACCUGAUUUCACCAUGUUAAGAUGGGCAUCAGUCAGCCAGCGCUAAAGGAGAGGAAGGUAAGCAGGACAGCAGAGGAUUUAGAGAAAUACUCUUAGGAAGAAUGGAGUUCCUGAGGAUAUUAACCCAGAAAAGAAAAGCCACAGGUAUAACAUGAUGGCUCUCUUAUAGUAUUUCAAGAGCUAUAGUGUAUAAAGAGAAUUUGAUCUAUCCUCCACAGUAAGAAAGAACAGGCCAUGAUAAGAAUAUAGAUAAAUACAAGAAAUAUUCAUAACAGUUAUAACUGACCAAAUAGGUAUUAUUUGAUAGUAAACUUCUUGUAUAUAGAGAGAAUGUUUUAAAAAAUGGAUGUUUUUCUUUGGGGGAUGUUUUAACAGGAACAUUUAUACUGAAUGGAGGUUAGAGGAACUCAACCCCAAUAUUUUCUCCAUUGCUCUAAUCAUUAUAAUCUAUACAUCUAUGGAUUGGGCAUGUUUCUUAGAUUAAAAAGUUGACCUGGG
rnacentral:lncRNA from 9 species